CCUACGGGCGGCAGCAGUGAGGAAUAUUGGUCAAUGGCCGAGAGGCUGAACCAGCCAAGUCGCGUGAGGGAAGACGGCCCUACGGGUUGUAAACCUCUUUUGUCGGGGAGCAAAGCGAACCACGUGUGGUUCAUUGAGAGUACCCGAAGAAAAAGCAUCGGCUAACUCCGUGCCAGCAGCCGCGGUAAUACGGGGGAUGCGAGCGUUAUCCGGAUUUAUUGGGUUUAAGGGGUGCGCAGGCGGAGGGGCAAGUCAGCGGUAAAAUUGCGGGGCUCAACCCCGUACUGCGGUUGAAACUGCAUCCCUUGAGUGCGCGAGAGGUAUGCGGAAUGCGUGGUGUAGCGGUGAAAUGCAUAGAUAUCACGAAGAACUCCGAUUGCGAAGGCAGCAUACCGGCGCGCAACUGACGCUCAUGCACGAAAGCGUGGGUAUCGAACAGGAUUAGAUACCCCGGUAGUC
rnacentral:rRNA from 1 species